rnacentral:lncRNA from 10 species
UCAUAACCACAGGGUUUCUGUGGACUUUCAGUGGUGUUUGCUGGGGCAUUGGCCCUUAUUAACCUUGGCAGUCAGAGCUCAUAUUCCAAACAUUCACUAAAAUAUUCCACGUGGGCACAAGCGAUUUCCAAUCAACACUAAGACAUGCCCUUGAAGAAGAGGGUUUGAGUGCGGUUCACCGGGCCAGGACAAGUGGACCUUCUUCAGUUAGGAGACACCUGCUGUGCCAGUGAGUGUCCUCAAUUCAUGGCUCAGACACAGCUCCAGCAGCCUGUCCAGCGGGGAAGAGAGCUGUGAGUGAAAAGAGCCACAGUGCACGGGUAGAAGCGACGUACCAGAGGGGUGGCUUCCUGGAGCCGAUCUAGUUCCAAGACAGAUGCCAAUGGCGGAAUCAGAGCUCCAUAAGUCAACGUACCUUUGAGAAUCUGUCAGGGGCUCUUGGAGAUCGUUUGAGCCAAAAUACAUGCCAAGUGUGUCACCUUCUGCUCCAAGUACCCACAAUGCAAAGUCGAUGUGAGUUCUUUCCUCGAUGUCGUCAUACAUUCCACUAAAUUGCUUUCACGCGUAAAUCUGGCACCGGAAGCUGGAGACUGAGAUUAGAAUGAGGAAACGCAGACGGCCUUUCUCUGCAACUAGUGCAUUUCAUGUGGUCUUCUGAAAAUUACUUAUCCUUUCUCAUCUUGACAUAUCUACUAUUUCGUCACUGAAAUUUUUAAAAAAGGAAAAAAUCUUCUAUGUCUUUCCUCCAUGUGACGUUUAAGGACAGAUGAGAGUCUGUGGAAACCAGAGCCCUGGGUUCUCACCCUAGAUCUUAGGACAGUCCCUGAAGGUCCCUGGGUCUGUUCCCUGUCUGUAAAAUGGAAUGACCUUGCCUACCUCCUGAUAAUAAGAUGAGAAGAUGUGGAACAAUGCCUGGAAAACAGCCCGACGCUAUAAGAAGUUCACCUAGUGUGCCUGAAAGGAAAUAUCACCUGCAGAAGACAGGAAGGGGCCAUGUCCCAGGAAUAUCACCUGCAGAAGACACAAAGGGGCCAUGUCCCAGGCGAGCUCUCCUCCCUGCUGGGAAGGCUGCGCUCCUGUGAAUGUGGGCACUCAUGCAGCAGCAGAGACGGGCGGGAGCUGGGGGAGAGUGGCAGAGCUGUGUGCCAAUGGCUCUGAGGUAGCAGAACAGUGGGAAGACGACAGUCUGAGAGUCAAGUGUGAAUGCCUCCAACCAAAGGAGGUUCACCUGCUUACAGCAAGGAGGACAGAGAAGUGCAGGCCAAUGACACGAGCCUCAGGAAAGCAGAAGGUUCUUUCUUCCUGAGGAUGAGAAAGGAAAUGGCUUGGACAUGGCAAUGAACAGCAGAUAAACUUUUGAGCCCAAUUCCCAUUUGUGCACCCCAAGUGCAGGAAAAGAAGUCCUUCCCUUGAGAAGCCACAGAAGAGGCUGCAGGGUGAGGGCCAGACCUAGCAAGGUGCCAGGGGGCCGUGCUCACUGGCAGUCACGGUGUAGACACGCCCAAUUCUGUGACUUCAGCGGCACAGGGAGAGCCAGGGAGAGGCGGCAAAGGGAGAGGCGGCACAGGGAGAGCCAGGGAGAGGUGGCAAAGGGAGAGGCGGCAAAGGGAGAGGCGGCACAGGGAGAGGCGACACAGGGAGAGGCGGCACAGGGAGAGCCAGGGAGAGGUGGCAAAGGGAGAGGCGGCACAGGGAGAGGCAGCACAGGAUUCUGGAUGCAGCCCCGAAGAGGAUGGAAAAUCUUAGGUGGGUGCUCAGGGGAAGAGAUAGAGGCUGCCAGGGAAGUGAGUCGGCUGCUUGCUCGGUCACCAGAUCUUGGAUUUGUGGUUGCUGGUCUGAGUUGCUACUGAAAUGCAGUAGACUUGGCCUUGGGGUCACCAAGCCAUAUGCAUGCAAUGAUAUGAGAGCAACAAAUUAGCCAAAGUGGUCUGUGCCCACAGAGGCCAGCGUCACCUCCUGGAACCACCCCUGCUAAUGUCACGUGAGCCCAGAGCCACCAACCGGGCUGGUUUCUCAGCAUAUGGGUGGAGAGAGGCCUCUGAUCGAGGAGCCACAUUCUGCAGCAAAAUAAUCCUUCCCACUGUGCACGGAGAUCCUGAGAUCACCUGGAGGGUGGGGGAUGGUGGUGACAAGACAAGGAGGGUGCAAAGACACAAGUUGCCAAAGAUCAGGGCGGGGGCGUUUCUCUUAAAUGGCGCCUCCCAGCUGGUGCCCCCUUUCCUGUUAGAAAACUUGAAUGAGAAGCAACCUUCCUGAACGGUCACAGGAAGGCAGUGUUGGUAUCUUGAGUAGGCGUGAACCACUCCCCUGCUCCGGGGGGACUAGAGAAGCGUAGCCCGUGUCCUUCCCCAUCUGAACAGAGCAGCGCCAUGGGCUAGGGAGCACUAACAGAGGCUCUGACCCCCUCCCUGCCCCUGCCCAAUUUCUGCCCCUAGAUUAGAGAUUCAGAGCUUGGGAUAACCAGAAACACAAGUGGGCACCCGGGCAUGUUUCCUUCCCUCCCUCCUGGCUCCUUGCCGUCCACAGCCACCAUAUAACACAAGCCCAGGAUCCAGCUCAGUCAGGGUAGAAGGAGACACUCGCUGGGUUGAGGUUAGAAGAUCCUGGGUUGAGGGCAUGAAUGAAUCACAUUUCACGUGCUGUGGACGGACGGAGACACAAUACUGCAGAUCACCAUCAAACCCCUCCCCAGAGAGGGCCAGAGGAGCCCACCCAAGACAGUGUCCACCAGACCUGAGAGCCUGGACCGGACAGGGCACCCCAGUGCACCCCAUCUCAGUGUCAGAGAGCAGGCAGGGCGGAGGCCGUGAGAAGUCCCUCACCCUGCAAGGAGUGAACACUGUUUUCUUAUAGAGAGAAUUUCCUUAUCCAACAAUGUGCAAGCAGAAAACAGAAAGAAAGGUCUGUGGGGAAAUAAUCCACAGCAUUAAAGAAGGGAAAUAAUCCAGUUUCUAUUUGACCCAAAAACUAUUUAUAGAAGAGUGUUUUUAAUGCUCCAAAGGAUAGGGGGGUAGUGUUUAUUUAAUGUUUGUUUUGUUGGCUGCACUUACUGCAAUUUGGGCUUUCUGUCAUUCACUGAUGUAUUCUUCAUGACCCAAUAUAGAAUCAGUUUUUAUAUUUGUUAUGAGUACAUAUGAAAGAAGGUCUGCUCUUUGUAAGGCACAAAGUUGGGGAUUAUAUAUGUAAUUUCAUGUGUAUACUAUUGAGAAAACAAGAAUGUUACAUAUCAAAAUUUAGGAAAGAAAGGCCAAAGCUGCACUAAAAGAUAAAUUCAUGGCAGUAAAAACAAAUCAUUAAAAGAAAAAUGAUAGAAGGAAGGAAGGACAGGAGGAGGGAAAGAAAUUCCUCUUCACUGGCAUUUUAUAAAUUUUAUUUAUUUUUGAGAGAAUAGAUAAUUUUCAUGCCAUCUUAAUUAUCUCUGAGUGUAGAAAAAGACAGAAAGAUAUUUAAUUCAUUUUGUGAAGCGACCAUGAUUCUGAUCAUCAUAUUGAAAUCUCACAAAUAUCAAAAAAAAGAAAAAAGUAAAACCAUGCAUUCCUCUCACUUUGAAUAUAGACUGGAAAAUUCCAAGUAAAAUAUUAGCAAAUUCAGCAGAAUAGUAGGAGAAUCAUCCACCAAGAACAAGUAGUUGUCACCCCAGUAAUUCAAGGAUGGCUCCAUUUUAAUCCAAAAGACAAUAGUUGUAAAAUAAUCUCAGGAGAUGGUGAAAAUAUUUUCAUUACACGCAGUGGCCUUUCCUGAUUUUUAAAAGCUCUUUGAAAGCAGAAAUAGACAAAUGUCACCUCAGCACUGUAAAAAUAUCUAAAACUAAAACCAGUGUCUUACUGGAUAGAAAAAAACUGUAAUAUCUCCUUGUUAUCAACAUUAAUGCAGUUCUCAAUUAUUAGAGUAAAACAUGAAAUAGACAUUAGAAGAAGAACCAUUGGAGAAAAGUUUGCAAGCAAAUCAUAACUUGCAAGAGAUAUGCCGGUACACAUUUUAGAAAAAGAAACAACAGUAAAAUGAACACAGAAUUGUUAGACUUGAUUAGUUGAAGGAAUUUUCUGUACAUCAAGAUUGUGCAGCACUUCCAACUUCCAGCUGUGGCAGAGUAGCUUCUAUCGUUCUGACCUUUUUGCCUAAAAGAAUGAUAAACUCUGAAGAAAAUGUGUAAAAUACUGAUUUGAAGGCAUGAGCUUUGAAUGUGUAUUUGCUGUUUGUUCCGCCAUCUGGCAAGGCCAAAGUGUUCCCUGGAUCCUGCUGGCCCCAGAGUGAGACUGUGGGGCAGGCCCAGCUGGGCUCACCAGCAGCAGGGACAGAGCUGCCUCGACCUCCCCAUCCCCGUGAGAAAUAAAGGUUGAUGGUGAAAGCUAUGGGAAUGUGGGAUUGUUUCUUAUGCAGAAUUCUCAUAGCAAAAACCCUGCCUCAAAUGGAAACUGCCAGCAGAUGGGAGUGCUGCUGUAAAACACCUGAAGGGAGGGGUCCUGGCCACAGACCAGGCCACAGAUAGGUGGGAAACUGGUUCGGGCUAGAAAAAUUAAGACCUGUUAUGUAACAGUAGAAAAAGCAGCUGCCCACGACAAGCCACUUAGCAGAAAAUGCAACUCAAGUUGCCAGAUUCGCUUAUGAUGACUAACUGCCCUUGAUAAGGCACCACUAGGGAGAGGAACCCAGAAAAGAGCUGGCUGCUCAUGUACAGAAUGCAGAGGGUGUGCUGGGAGAUAGAAACUCUAGAACUUGCAGGAACUGUAAAGUGGAACUGCUUCUCAUCUCCAGCCAGUAAAAGAUGAAAGAACUGGAGCAAAGAAAUUAAGUCUCUCUUCCAAGAUCUCUAGAAGAAGAAGGUUCAGCAGAACCCAGACCCCCAUGCAAGUGUUUCAGCUCCAAAGCCACCUGACCCUCCAUUGCUACCUGAUCAUUCACUCCCCUCUUUCACUAUCAUUUAACUGUGCAAUUGUUUCCAGUUUUUCACUGUACAGAUCUGUUUUAAUGUAUCCAAUUUCUUUUAGCCACUCAAAAUGUAUCCGGAGCAAUUGAGAUGUAGCAAAAUUAGUUUACAGUAUUUUGUUUCUUUCUUAUUUCCUAUUGCAACUGUUAAUGGCAGUUCAGGGGUCUGAGGGUGGGCAUAGGGGAGAGAGAAACAGAAGCCAAGAACCCAGGUGUUCCAUAAAACAAAAGAGAGAACAACAACAACAACAACAACAAAACAGUCCUGUUAAGAGGUUGAUUGUGUGACCUGGGAGUCAAGGAGAGACCACGUUGGCCUUCUGCAAGUCUUAAUUAACUGCUACUCCUAUCACAGGACAACGGCCCAGAAAUUGACAAGAUCAUCUGCAGCACAGUGAAAGGCCUGCCCUGGCUGGGAGAGCCGAGGGACCCAGCUCACAGUGAAAGGCCCGCCCCGGUUGGGAGAGCCGAGGGACCCAGCUCAGAUGUAACUCUGCCUCCCGUGGGGGCUUUGGAGGCUUCAUUAAAAUGAGCAAGCUGGCAGAGAUCAUUUCAAAUGAUGCUGUCUUGCUUUAAAACAUCUAUAAUUCCAAUUUACAAAGGGCCAACCAACCCACAGAAAAAAUAAAUAAUAGACGUUUACUCUGGGAAACUAACCCAGUGACCCAUAUGUCACGAGGCCGCCAUCUACAGAAAGUCCUUCAUGGGCGGGUGUCCACAUCAUUAAAACCACAGUUUAAUGGCUGCUCAUUGGCAUCCUUGUUAGCAUUUUUAGAAGAAAUAUUCAAAUGAAUGGAUUUCCCUUUCCACGUUGAAAAUCAGAACAACCUCUCAUGGAGACUCCACUUUUGUUUCUAAACAGACACCAUGAGUGUCUUCUCCAGCCUGGCGGCCAUCUGACAUCUUCAUGCUCCAAACCACUUACACAUUCUUUGAAAAUUAAAGCCUAAUUCUCUCUUUUGCAAUGAUGUUUUUUGCUACCUAUUAAUGAGUGAAAUUGCUAGUCCAGACAUGCUAGAAAAGGAAUAAGCGCCAAGCUGAAAAAUGUUUGGCUUUCAUGUAUGUGCUUCUCUGAGAUAAAAUAAAACGAUAUGUAAUCUUGAAUUAUGUCAUGAGGCAUAAUGCUGUGAUUUCCUGGAAAAUGUGGAGCUAAUCAGUUAUUCAUUUAGGAAUUAACUAGAGCAUCAAUUGUCAGAUUAAAC